GGGCGAGUGGCGGAAUUGGCAGACGCGCAGCGUUCAGGGCGCUGUCCCGCUUCGCGGGAUGGAGGUUCAAAUCCUCUCUCGCCCA
rnacentral:tRNA from 1 species